CUUACCUUGAAACAGUACGGAGCAGUAAGAGUCACUGAUGUCGGAGUCCGGAGUCUGCACAUUUUCAGCAUGUAAGAUGAAAACUCGCAGCAUUCCGCCUGAGUGUAUUCUUGUCACCCUUGUCUCUCCCUGAGCCGGACUGUCUGCACUGGGAUCCCACUCUGAUCCUCCCUCUCCAGCUCACUGCGGUGGUGAGUGGCUUUACAUGGACUGGAUGUCAUACUAUUAAAGGGAUAGUAACACCUGCUCCACGAAUCCAAUCAGUCACGCAAAGUUUACGAAUCUCA